GCCAAGAUACUCAAGUGGUAUGAGGAUGGAUUGCUAAUCCAUUGUCGUAAGACUCCCGGGUUCAAAUCCCGGUCUUGGCUCCA
rnacentral:tRNA from 1 species